CAGAGUUGCAAAACUCCCAAACCAUUGUGAGCGUUACCAAAACCGUUGCUUCGGCGGGCGGCCCGGGUCACUCCCGGCGCCCCCCGGCCCUCGCGGGCGCCCGCCGGAGGCAAACCAAACUAUUGAAUUGUAUGGCCUCUCUGAGUCUUCUGUACUGAAUAAGUCA
rnacentral:misc_RNA from 1 species